GGUAUUUUCAAAAUAUAAGUACAAUGUAAAAACAUGUAUGUACACAAUGAGUCCAAUGUAUCAAAGUAGUAACUUCAAUGUAAGUACAUAGUACUUAAAGCCACUUAAUAUAAAGUGGGACCCAGAUUUGAUAUGCAUAGUAUUUAUAAUGUAGCACCGCAGUCAAAAUGGGACUAGUUUUUGAUAGUUGUGAUUUGUUGUUCUUUAGUUUGGUUUGGCAUUUAUGGGGUCAACAUGGCUUUUUCGGAUAUUUAACCUUCAAAUGGUCUUCGUUUCCUGUUUACAGUUCUGGGCUUCAGGGUCUAUACGACCUCAACAAUUGAUUGAGUAAUUGUACAAAAACUAUACAUUUUUAA